UUGAAUACGUUUAGGAUAGGUGCGCAUCAAAGGAAAGAAUUGCGCUGAAAAGGGAAGUACGGUUAAAAUCCGUCACGGUACCCGCCACUGUAUGGGGGAGUUUAUUGCAAAUGUCACUGAAAUUUUUUCGGGAAGACGCAAUCGAACGAUGAGCCUUAGUCAGGAGACCUGCCUGUGCCUAAUGACUUCA
rnacentral:ncRNA from 2 species